GCUGGUCUUCGACGAGGCGUUUGUGGAGAAGUGCGCAUCCGCGAUGCCCGAGUUGCCCGGAGCGAUUCGCGCCAGGUACGCGGACCUCGGCUUGCCCCCCGCGGACGUCCAGGUGCUCGUGGAGGAUAAGGAACUCGUGGAGUACUUCGACGCCGCGCUGGCGGCGGGGGCGCCCGCGAAGCAGUGCGCCAACUGGCUCACCGGCGACGUGAUGGCGUGGCUUAAAAACGCCAAGGACGUCGCG
rnacentral:lncRNA from 1 species